GUAAAAGUCGUAACAAGGUCUCCGUUGGUGAACCAGCGGAGGGAUCAUUACAGAGAGCAUAGUCUCCCUAAUACCCCUGUGAACGUACCUAUGUUUGCUGCCUCGGCAGGUGCGGCUGCGUGCCCGUCUUCUCACUUGGUCAUUUCGUGCUGCGUUGGCAGCGAGGGCCUACCCGCCGGGACGCCGCCCUGGAAGGGACUCGCGCCGUAGCACGUCGCCCAGUGAGUAAGGGCAUGCGGUGAACGCCUGCCGCUGGCCUCUCUAAACCUGUUUUCUACGUGGAAUUCUGAGCUUACGAUACAAAUACGUUAAAAACUUUCAACAACGGAUCUCUUGGUUCUGGCAUCGAUGAAGAACGCAGCGAAAUGCGAUACGUAAUGUGAAUUGCAGAAUUCAGUGAAUCAUCGAAUCUUUGAACGCACAUUGCGCCCAUUAGUAUUCUAGUGGGCAUGCCUGUUCGAGCGUCAUAUCAACCCUUAAGCCCCCGUUGCUUAGUGUUGGGAGCCUACCACGCUCGUCGUGCGUAGCUCCCCAAAGGUAGUGGCAGAGACGAUUCCGUGCUCUAGGUGCAGUAGAUUUCUUAUCUCGCCUAUGACCGGGCUUAUCCCUCGCCGUAAAACAGCCCGCUGUACUCUCAGCGAGUCUUACAAGGUUGACCUCGGAUCAGGUAGGAAUACCCGCUGAACUUAAGCAUAUCAAUAAGCGGAGGAAAAGAAACCAACAGGGAUUGCCUCAGUAACGGCGAGUGAAGCGGCAACAGCUCAAAUUUGAAAUCUGGCUCCCUCAGGGGGUCCGAGUUGUAAUUUGUAGAGGAUGUCUUCUGGCGAGGUGCCUUCCGAGUUCCCUGGAACGGGACGCCUUAGAGGGUGAGAGCCCCGUAAGGUUGGCGGCCGAGCCUCUGUGAAACUCCUUCGACGAGUCGAGUAGUUUGGGAAUGCUGCUCUAAAUGGGAGGUAAAUUUCUUCUAAAGCUAAAUAUUGGCCAGAGACCGAUAGCGCACAAGUAGAGUGAUCGAAAGAUGAAAAGUACUUUGAAAAGAGGGUUAAACAGCACGUGAAAUUGUUGAAAGGGAAGCGUUUGUGGCCAGACCUUUUCCUAGCGGAUCUUUCAGUGGUAUACACUGACGCACUUCGCUAGGUGGAGGCCAGCAUCGGUUCUCUCGGGGGGACAAAAGCUCUGGGAACGUGGCUCCCUUCGGGGAGUGUUAUAGCCCUCUGCAGAAUACCCUAGAGGGGACCGAGGACUGCGCCCUUUGGGCAAGGAUGCUGGCGUAAUGGCCGCCAACGACCCGUCUUGAAACACGGACCAAGGAGUCGAACAUUUGUGCGAGUGUUUGGGUGUUAAACCCUCACGCGUAAUGAAAGUGAACGGAGGUGAGAGCCCUUUCGGGUGCAUCAUCGACCGAUCCUGAUGUCUUCGGAUGGAUUUGAGUAAGAGCAUAACUGUUCGGACCCGAAAGAUGGUGAACUAUGCGUGGAUAGGGUGAAGCCAGAGGAAACUCUGGUGGAGGCUCGCAGCGGUUCUGACGUGCAAAUCGAUCGUCAAA
rnacentral:misc_RNA from 1 species